rnacentral:rRNA from 1 species
AGGACGAACGCUGGCGGCGUGCUUAACACAUGCAAGUCGAGCGGAAAGGCCCUUCGGGGUACUCGAGCGGCGAACGGGUGAGUAACACGUGAGUAAUCUGCCCCUAGCUCUGGGAUAGCUCCGGGAAACCGGGAUUAAUACCGGAUACGACCACUUUAGACAUCUGUUGUGGUGGAAAGAAUUUUGGCUAGGGAUGAGCUCGCGGCCUAUCAGCUUGUUGGUGGGGUAAUGGCCUACCAAGGCGACGACGGGUAGCCGGCCUGAGAGGGCGACCGGCCACACUGGGACUGAGACACGGCCCAGACUCCUACGGGAGGCAGCAGUGGGGAAUAUUGCGCAAUGGGCGAAAGCCUGACGCAGCGACGCCGCGUGGGGGAUGAAGGCCUUCGGGUUGUAAACCCUUUCAGCAGGGACGAAGCGAAAGUGACGGUACCUGCAGAAGAGCGCCGGCUAACUACGCGCCAGCAGCCGC